rnacentral:misc_RNA from 1 species
UCUCCGUUGGUGAACCAGCGGAGGGAUCAUUACCGAGUUUACAACUCCCAAACCCCUAUGUGAACGUUACCAAACUGUUGCCUCGGCGGGAAAUUCAUGCCCCGGGCGCGUCGCAGCCCCGGACCAAGGCGCCCGCCGGAGGACCAACCAAAACUCUUUUGUAUGUCCCUCGCGGACUUUUAUAAUUCUGAACCAUCUCGGCGCCCCUAGCGGGCGUUUCGAAAAUGAAUCAAAACUUUCAACAACGGAUCUCUUGGUUCUG